AAAAAAACGAAUUAACAACUUUGGUAUUGUUUGGAAGGUAAACAGCUUAAUUCCUUUAUGUAAAGCCACCUUAACAUGUUUUUGCAUAAUUCUGACUCACGUUGGUUGCUAUCGGGCUUAAGCCAUAAAAAUCGAAGAAAAAAAGAAGAAGACGAAGAGACUUUCACUUGUCAUUUCAAUGUCACUUUCCGGCCCACAAGCAUAAACGCCACCGGCAACGGAAGUUCCCAAAAUCCAAACAAAUGUUGGAAGAUAUUUUUAAGUCUCCGCAUCUUUCUUACUUUCCUAUAUGAAAAUAAAAUGUAAGUAUCACAAUUACACACAUACAAGUUUUUUUUUUUAAUUCAGUUUCAUAAUUACCAAUUUUUAGUGAAUAAUCCUGAAAUUUAUGAAAAUACAUACAUUUUAAGGUUAUGUCAUAAUGUUUUGAUUGUUAUAUUUGAUUUUGUUUUUGUUAUUUUAGUGGACUACACCAACAAAGGUUAUGUGUUUUGCACCAGAUUGAAAGCAUCAUAGCGAAAAACGGACCUGUCAUAUCUUUAAAUUUUCAAAAGAGCCCCUGGAAAAAGAAAAAUGAAUAUCUUUGCCAAGGAAUAGGUACUAAGGCAAAUGGAUAAAAAACCUUCAGUCCAUGCAUUGGUAUGUAAUUGUUGACAAAAAUACAAUGAAUGGCCUCACUACUUUUCCACAUGCAAAGAGGUUAACCAAGGAGAAAUUAAAGAAAUUGUCAAAAACCUAGGUAAAUACAGAAUUGCUUAGUACAAACAUAUCUAUACCCAGUACAAGUUCGUCCACUUCUUUGAAGCAUGGUACUUCAAACAGAAACACUGUCAACAAUUUUGUAGAAGGUGAGCCGGUGUCAAAUUCCAGUAAGGGACAUGAUUUCAAUUUUGCACCAACAGCAGAGCUAAAAUUCAUUUUGCCGCAAAAAACUGGAGGAUGUGAAAGAAAAAAGUGCAGAAGUUAAAAUUAAGUUUUUCAUAUGAGCACAUAAAAAAUAAUCAUGACAAAGUUCAGUUGUAUACAGGUUUGACAUGUAAUAAAUAUUUUUGUAAUCUUAUUAAGUUAAUUAGUUUUAUACAUUAUUUAAAUAAUAAUUGUAUACUUCACAUAGAAUAUGCAGAAAUUAUAUGUACAUAUAUAAAUUUUUUUAUUAAGAUAAGGACAACAUGUAUUAAAGCAUAACACAUAAUAUAGACACACACGUAAUAUCUUCAUUAAAAAUUAUGAUUGUAUGUUAUGUAGCAUUAGAGCCUAAAAACAUUAAGGAGAAUAAAGGUCGUUAUUGGCAAAUGACAAUAUUAUUUUCUCUAUUUCCUACAUUUUUGGUGAAGGGAAUAGGCUCUGCCCUAAAAAGCCAGGUUAAACCAAGAGCAAAAAAGUUUAGGUCUCAUGAGUGUAAGUAAAGUAAACCUUUCUAUUAAAAAGGCCAUCCAAGAUAAAAAAAAAUAUACUAAAAAUAUUAAUGUUAAUUCUUUAGCGACAUCUAGGGUGGAUAUGCUGAAUCA